AUGCAUUUGUUAAAGGCAGAAACAUUAUGGAUGGUGUCCUGUCUCUUCAUGAAAUUCUUAACUACACAUAUGUUAAGAAAAAGAGUGGGGAUUGUCCUUAAACUGGAUUUUGAAAAAGCCUAUGACAAGGUUAAUUGGGACUUUCUCCUAGAAUGUCACAAGAUGCGAGGUUUCAAUGAUACUUGGUGCGGGUGGGUUAAACAAAUACUCUACAAUGGGACUGUUAGUAUUAAACUUAACAGCAAUGUUGGUCCUUAUUUUCAAAGUAAGAAAGGGGCCCGCCAGGGAGACCCACACUCUCCUUUUUUAUUCAACCUGGCUGUUGAGUGCCUCACCAAAAUGAUUAAAAAAUGCUCAGAAAAAUAA
rnacentral:rRNA from 1 species